CUGAAUAGGACUAAUUGUAGUUAGUUCUCCAGCCCAUGCUAUGGGCACAUUUCUGAAUAGACCUAAUUGUGCUCAUUUUAAGGCUACAACUGACUUCAGGAUAAAUCUUGUGGGUAAUCAGGCAUAUGCACUAGCGGAUAUUGCUGUCAUGGUUUACAGGCAUGUGGCCCCAGAGUGUGAGGAAAUUUAGGAACAUCAAACUGCUAAGAGAUGGCUGCAAUGCUUGUUAAAACAUCUGUGCAGUUUAGGAACUGAACUCCCAUCCUCUUCAAUGGGAGUUAAGUGCAAAUAAAGAAAUCACUUUUGUCCCAGAUCCUGAAAGAUAUUUAGAUGCCCAUUUCUUCUUGAAGAAGACCUUUUUACCAAUCCAGGGCCUAACGCCCACUGAAACCGAGAGCAGUAGGCGCCUAACCUACUCAGGUGCUUUUGAAAAAACCCAACACCUUUCUAAAGUCUCUUGAAAACAGGACCUACGUUACCUGUACUCCAUUUUACAUAUGACAGGGCAAAGAAUGAAGUAUUUGCUUUGAAUUUGGCUCAGGGUCCAACACUGCUUCUAGGGAGGCACAACAUCCCCUAUAUAGGGGUUAAAAAGGCGGCAGCUGACUUGGCGUCAUAUGUUACUUGGCUAUGCAAGUCUGUUAUCACAGUAAUCCUCCGGCAUGUAACAGCGCAGGCUGCCUGUGAUUUUACAGAUGGACACAGGGCUUGCUGUCUUUUGAACCUGGCACUUCCAAGGAGUGCAGACCUUCCUGACUCCAGAACCACGCUUGCCUGGCCCUUUUCUUUUCUAACACAGAUAGUCAACAGCAAAGAAGAAUUUGUGCCCUUCUCUCGUGAACGGCGAGUAGGGGCUUUGGACGCAGUGGCCGGGACGUAGAGGAGCCAUACUGGGGCCCAAACUAGCUCAGACAAAAUAUCCACCUAGCCCAGUAUGUGCACUAGUCACCAGCAGUAGUUGGUAUGGAAAACGUUUCUGAAGUAGGAUAAAUGUGGAACGACCCUUCUCCAGGUGUAUCUUCUCAGAGCUGCAGGCCCUCCUGUUUGGUAAGGUGUGGAGGCCCUUCAGUCCCUGCACUGCCCAGCGCUGCGAUGAAGCCACCACUGCCCAGCGCUGCAAUGAAGCCACCCUGCGAUGAGGCCACCAAUGCCCAGCGCGGCAAUGAGGCCACCCUGCGAUGAAGCCACCACUGCCCGGUGCUGCAGUGAAGCCACUGCUGCCUGGCACUGCGAUGAAGCCAUCCUGCAAUGAAGCCACCACUGCCCAGUGCUGCAGUGAAGCCAUCACUGCCUGGUGCUGCAAUGAAGCCACCCUAUGAUGAGGGCACCAAUGCCGAGUGCUGCGAUGAAGCCACUGCAGCCUGGCACUGAGAUGAAGCCACCCUGUGAUGAGGCCACCACUGCCCAGCGCUGCGAUGAGGCCACCACCACCUGACACUGUGAUGAAGCCACCCUGCGAUGACGCCACCACUGCCCGGCGCUGCGAUGAAGUCGCUUCCUGGGCCAGCGGCUGCCAGAAACACGUCUAGCAGGCACUGGUGAGACUUGCUGCCAGGAGAGGUCCAGCACUCGCAAACCUAGGUGUGUUUUCGUCCUCACAACCUCUGGUGGCAGUAAGGUUCACCAUUUAACUGUACCCUCUGUGGCAGGAAAAAAAAAUCUUUCCGUUUAUUGUAAAUCUGUUACCUGGGGUGACUGCAUCUGCUGAAGUUACCUGACUGCUGCGUGCUUCGUUUGCUGCUCCCCCAGCUCUUGCGUUACAAGCAGCGGGGGAAGCCCCGCUCGCCGCCUUGACACCGGUCCCCACGAGAGAGCCGCACGGUGGCCAAUGGUGCCGCCAGGGCUGCCUGAUGCCUGAGCUGCUUUAAUGGUUUUGGCCA
ensembl:lncRNA